CGGAAAAAAAGUUGAGAAAAAAAGGAAAACGAACGGUAUGUCGUAGACGUAAAGGAGAACCCCGUUGAAUUUCCUUUUGACAUUUUUUUUUUUGAAGCUAGAAGCAGAGAAAACAAAAAAAUCCCUAGAAAAUUUAUUGGGUUUCGCUUAUAUCAUUAGGACUUUGGAAAAGUAAGAAUUUUAUUGAGAGAGAAGAAAGAUUGCGUUAUCCUUUAAUCCCCUAUUAUUUACUUGUUUUCCCGAGAACACUCAUUGAGUUUCUUCUAUUUUCAUUGUUUCUUCCACGUUUUCUCCAGUCUCUCUUUCUUCACUGUUUUUCUGUUCAUAGUUGUUAGAUCUUAUGUCUUUUCAAAUCCGAAUCUUAAACUUGAUCUCUUCUCUCAUUUGAUUAAACCCAUCCAGCAAAAAUUCCACCUCUCGAGACACGAUUGUUGUUCGAUCUUCUCCGUAGCUUUGUGACAACAGAAUCUAGGGUUUCGUUUUUUUAUUUUUUGUAUUUUUCUUUUAUUCUUUUAUUUAAGUCUUGGUUCAUAAAUUUUCCUGCUACAAACAACAACUGUACAUCACCAUCAUUAAGAGAAACCCAUCUGCCUCUUUCUCAAUCUCAUAAAUAUUCUCACCGUUCGCUUCUCAUCUAAAUGUUCUCUCUGUAGCUUUUCUCUCUACAGAUAACCCUUUUUGCUCCUUAAUGUGUGAGUACCUCUCAAUAUUACAUUCGACAGAAAGGAAAUGAGUGAAGUUUUUGGGAUCUUUAAUCUUUUUUGAUCAUGCGGGUUUGACAAAAGAGUCUCUUACAGAGAUCUUUGGCAUUCUGUCCACCUCCUCUCUCUAUAUGUAUAUGUAUGAGCGCUGUCUUGUGAGGGGAGGUGGACAUAUUGCCAACAGAGAUCUGUUAGGGUUUCUUUGUAAAACCCCUCAUGAUUUGAUAUUUUCAAGAUAUGAGACGUUGGCUCUUGGUGAUCAAGAUUAUUUGUUGAAUUCUAAGAUCUAAUUCUGAAGAAAACCGGGUUUUAUGCUUUCUUUGAUCGAGACUCUAAUCCGAUGGUGGUUUCAAAGAUGGAUCACAUUCACAUUUGAUUGUAAGAAGUUCUCAACAUCUUUUAAUUUGCAACGGCGUUGACAAAUGUGAGAUUUCAGAGUGGUGGCGUUUGAGACGUUUACAUCAUCUAGGAAAGGUAAAUUAUGCAUAAAGAAAGAGGACCCAUUACUCCAUAUAAAGGCACAGGUAAAUUGAAAUCAUAGGAGAAUAUGGUAAUGAAAAGGAGAAUUUACUCUUCCCUUUUUCUUUUUUUUUAAUAACUUACUCUUCCCUUUCUAUGUUUGUGAAGCCCACACAAUGUUAUUUAUUAUGAUGUCUUGUUUUCUUUUAAGUUGGAAUCUAUAUAUAUAGGCUAUUAGCAAGUGAUUUUUUUUUUGUUUAUAUAUUAUCUGAUGAGAUUUGUUUAAUCUGAUAAAUGGUUGGAGAAAUAUCAAGUUCAAUCUUAAAGUAGAUGUAGUAUUUUCUUAGGCUUUAUUAUGAUGUUUCUUUUGUUAAAGUCGGAUUGUGUAUAUAUAAUAAUAUAUACUCAUGUAUAGUCGCAUGUUUCUAUAUGAUGUCUUGAUGUAUGCAUGUAUUCUAACUUCAGGACUUUCAAUUGAGGUAUGAAUGCCGAGAUAUGACGAUUCCGACAA